rnacentral:rRNA from 1 species
GUCCACGCCGUAACGUUGGGCACUAGGUGUGGGGCGCUAUCGACGCGUUCCGUGCCGUAGCUAACGCAUUAAGUGCCCCGCCUGGGGAGUACGGCCGCAAGGCUAAACUCAAAGGAAUUGACGGGGCCCGCACAAGCGGCGGAGCAUGUGGCUUAAUUCGAUGCAACGCGAAGAACCUUACCUGGGUUGAACUAUGCAGGAAAACCAAUAGAGAUAUGGUGUCCUUCGGGGCCUGUGAUAGGUGGUGCAUGGCUGUCGU